rnacentral:rRNA from 1 species
UACAGAGGGUGCGAGCGUUGUCCGGAAUCACUGGGCGUAAAGGGUGCGUAGGUGGCCUGUUAAGCGUGUGGUGAAAGCCUGGGGCUCAACCCCAGGUCUGCCGUGCGAACUGACAGGCUUGAGCAGAGUAGAGGCGAGUGGAAUUUCGGGUGUAGCGGUGGAAUGCGUAGAUAUCUGGAGGAACACCGGUGGCGAAGGCGGCAUCCUGGACCGACACUGACACUGAGGAGCGAAAGCCAGGGGAGCAAACGGG